GAACAAGGUCCCUCAGGCCGUGCUGGUCCAUCUGGCAGAGAUGGCUUACAAGGACCACCUGGGCCUCGAGGAGAACAAGGAGAGAGAGGAGAGCCUGGUAUACCCGGUCUGCCGG